rnacentral:rRNA from 1 species
CCUACGGGGGGCAGCAGUGGGGAAUAUUGGACAAUGGGGGGAACCCUGAUCCAGCCAUGCCGCGUGUGUGAAGAAGGCCCUCGGGUUGUAAAGCACUUUCAGUGAGGAAGAACGCCUGGUGGUUAAUACCCAUCAGGAAAGACAUCACUCACAGAAGAAGCACCGGCUAACUCCGUGCCAGCAGCCGCGGUAAUACGGAGGGUGCGAGCGUUAAUCGGAAUUACUGGGCGUAAAGCGCGCGUAGGUGGCUUGAUAAGCCGGUUGGGAAAGCCCCGGGCUCAACCUGGGAACGGCAUCCGGAACUGUCGAGCUAGAGUGCAGGAGAGGAAGGUAGAAUUCCCGGUGUAGCGGUGAAAUGCGUAGAGAUCUGGAGGAAUACCAGUGGCGAAGGCGGCCUUCUGGACUGACACUGACACUGAGGUGCGAAAGCUUGGGUAGCGAACAGGAUUAGAUACCCUUGUAGUC